GACGGAGGGUGCAAGCGUUGCUCGGAAUCAUUGGGCGUAAAGGGUGCGUAGGCGGCUUUUUAAGUCUGACGUGAAAGCCCAAGGCUCAGUCUUGGAAGUGCGCCAGAAACUGAAAGGCUAGAGUGCCGGAGGGGAGAGUGGAAUUCCUGGUGUAGCGGUGAAAUGCGUAGAUAUCAGGAGGAAUACCGGUGGCGAAAGCGACUCUCUGGACGGUAACUGACGCUGAGGCACGAAAGCGUGGGGAGCAAACAGG
rnacentral:rRNA from 1 species